ensembl:lncRNA
GGUCAUUAUUACCUCAUCAUUUAUCUGGUCAAUAUCUCCUGGUCAUUAGUUACCUCUAUCAUUUAUUGGUCAUUUAGUUACCUGGUCAUUAGUUAUCUGGUCAUUAGUUACCUCUAUCCUUUAUCUGGUCAUUAGUUAUCUGGUCAUUGUUACACUCUACCCUUUACGCUGUCAUUAGUUACUGGUCAUUAGUUACCCUCUUCAUUUUAUCAUUAGUUACCUCUAUCAUUUUACUGGAUCAUUAGUUUACCUGGAUCUAGUUAUUCUGGUACAUUAUGGUUUACCUCUACAUCCUUACUUGGUCAUUAGUUUACCUCUAUUAUUUAUCUGGUCAUUAGUUAUCUGGUCAUUAGUUACUCUAAUCCUUUACCUGGUCAUUAGUUACCUCUAAUCAUUUUCUGGUCAUUAGUUAUCUGGUCAUUAGUUACCUCUAUCAUUUAUCCGGUCAUUAGUUCCUGGUCAUUAGUUACCUAUAUCUAUUUACUGGUAUUAUUACUGGUCAUUAGUAUCUGGUCAUUAGUUACCUCUAUCCUUUACCAUGGUCAUUAGUUUACCUCUAUAUUUCCUGGUAUUAGUUACCUGCUCAUUAGUUACCUCUAUCAUUUAUCUGGUCACUAAUUACCUCGGUCAUUAGUUACUCUAUCUUAUCUGGUCUUUAGUUACCUUGGUCAUUAGUUAUCUGGUCAUUAGUAUCUAUCCUUACUGGUCAGUUAGUUCUUAUCAUUAUCUGUCAUUGUUUAUCUGGUCAUUAGUUACCUCUAUCAUGUUAUCAUUAAGUUACCUCUAUCAUUUAUGGUCAUUAGUUACUGGUCAUUAGUUACCUGGUCAUUAGUUACCUGGUCAUUAGUUCUGGUCAUUAGUUACCUGGUCAUUAGUUACCUCUAUCAUUUUACUGGUCAUUAUUUACCUCUAUCAUUUAUCUGGUCAUUAGUUACCUUGGUCAUUAGUUUACUGGUCAUUAGUUACCUGGUCAUUAGUUACUCUAUCAUUUAUCUGGUCAUUAGUUAUCUGGUCAUUAGUUACCUCUAUCAUUUAUCUGGUCAUUAAGUUACCCCUAUCAUUUAUCUGGUCAUUAAGUUACCCCUAUCAUUUAUCUGGUCAUUAAGUUACCCCUAUCAUUUAUCUGGUCAUUAAUGUUACCUAUCAUUUAUCUGGUCAUUAAGUUACCCCUAUCAUUUAUCUGGUCAUUAAGUUAUCAUUUCGGUCAUUUAGUUACUGGUCAUUAGUACGCCUAUUAAUGGUUAAUCCCCUAUCAUUUACGUUCAUUAGUAUCUGGUCAUGUAGUUACCUGGAUUAGUUACCUAUCAUUUAUCUCGACAUGCUAUUCUCUGCCAUGUCUUGGAGAAGGUCACAUC